rnacentral:rRNA from 1 species
CCUACGGGGGGCUGCAGUGAGGAAUAUUGGUCAAUGGUCGGAAGACUGAACCAGCCAUGCCGCGUGCAGGAAGAAUGCCUUAUGGGUUGUAAACUGCUUUUAUAUGGGAAGAAUAAGGCGUACGUGUACGUUGAUGACGGUACCAUAUGAAUAAGCAUCGGCUAACUCCGUGCCAGCAGCCGCGGUAAUACGGAGGAUGCGAGCGUUAUUCGGAAUCAUUGGGUUUAAAGGGUCUGUAGGCGGGCUAUUAAGUCAGGGGUGAAAGGUUUCAGCUUAACUGAGAAAUUGCCUUUGAUACUGGUAGUCUUGAAUAUCUGUGAAGUUCUUGGAAUGUGUAGUGUAGCGGUGAAAUGCUUAGAUAUUACACAGAACACCGAUUGCGAAGGCAGGGGACUAACAGACAAUUGACGCUGAGAGACGAAAGCGUGGGGAGCGAACAGGAUUAGAUACCCUUGUAGUC